UACGUAGGGACCAAGCGUUGUUCGGAUUUACUGGGCGUAAAGGGCGCGUAGGCGGCGUGGUAAGUCGCUUGUGAAAUCUCUGAGCUUAACUCAGAACGGCCAAGUGAUACUGCUGUGCUAGAGUGCAGAAGGGGCAAUCGGAAUUCUUGGUGUAGCGGUGAAAUGCGUAGAUAUCAAGAGGAACACCUGAGGUGAAGACGGGUUGCUGGGCUGACACUGACGCUGAGGCGCGAAAGCCAGGGGAGCAAACAGG
rnacentral:rRNA from 1 species